rnacentral:rRNA from 1 species
UGGGGGAUAUUGCACAAUGGGGGAAACCCUGAUGCAGCGACGCCGCGUGAAGGAAGAAGGCCUUCGGGUUGUAAACUUCUGUCGGUACGGGACGAUAAUGACGGUCACCGAUAACCAAGAAAGGCCAACGGCUAACUACGUGCCAGCAGCCGCGUAAAACGUAGGUGGCAAGCGUUGUCCGGAAUUACUGGGUGUAAAGGGAGCGCAGGCGGACUAGCAAGCUGGAAGUGAAAUCUAUGGGCUCAACCCAUAAAUUGCUUUCAAAACUGCCGGUCUUGAGUAGUGCAGAGGUAGGCGGAAUUCCCGGUGUAGCGGUGGAAUGCGUAGAUAUCGGGAGGAACACCAGUGGCGAAGGCGGCCUACUGGGCACCAACUGACGCUGAGGCUCGAAAGUAUGGGUAGCAAACAGGAUUAGAUACC